rnacentral:rRNA from 1 species
ACGCUCGACACCUACGGAGGCAGCAGUCGGGAAUAUUGCGCAAUGGAGGAAACUCUGACGCAGUGACGCCGCGUAUAGGAAGAAGGUUUUCGGAUUGUAAACUAUUGUCGUUAGGGAAGAGAAAGGACAGUACCUAAGGAGGAAGCUCCGGCUAACUACGUGCCUGCAGCCGCGGUAAUCUGAGCGGGCUGGCAAGGC